CCUACGGGAGGCAGCAGUAGGGAAUCUUUCACAAUGGGCGAAAGCCUGAUGGAGCAACGCCGCGUGCAGGAUGAAGGCCUUCGGGUUGUAAACUGCUUUUAUAAGCGAGAAAUAUGAUGGCAACUUAUGAAUAAGGAACGGCUAACUACGUGCCAGCAGCCGCGGUCAUACGUAGGAUCCGAGCAUUAUCCGGAGUGACUGGGUGUAAAGAGUUGCGUAGGUGGCAUAAUAAGUAGCUAGUGAAAUCUGGUGGCUCAACCAUUCAGACUAUUAGCUAAACUGUUAAGCUCGAGACCGUUAGAGGUAACUGGAAUUUGUAGUGUAGGAGUGAAAUCCGUAGAUAUUAGAAGGAACACCGAUAGCGUAGGCAGGUUGCUGGGACGGUUCUGACACUAAGGCACGAAAGCGUAGGGAGCAAACGGGAUUAGAUACCCGAGUAGUC
rnacentral:rRNA from 1 species